rnacentral:rRNA from 1 species
GACUACAGUUAUGCCACCCUGAAUGCACCAGAUCUGCUCUGAUCUUUGACUAAGCAGGAACAGGUCAGGGUAGUACUUAAAUGGAAGAAAACAGUUCUUAUCC